UCGGCCAAAACAAGAACCAAAGGAAGAACAAAGAAAGAAAAGAAAGAACACAAACCCUAGGUGGGAAAAAUUGAAGAAAAAGUGUGGGAUUUCAAGGGAUUAAGCUAAUAAAUGUAAAAUUUUGUGAUUUUUAUCUUGUGAUUUACACUACCCAUGCUUUCUUUUUCAUUUUUCAUGCUUAGAACUCAAGUUUGCAUGAUGAACCCAUGUUGGCCGAAUUUGAGAAGAAAGGUUUUGAGCAUUGAUUUUGCUAGAUUUCAAGCUAAUUAAGUGUUUUUGAUUGUUUGGUAAUGGAAAGUAUGAAAAUCUAGCAAGGAAUCACUUUGUUCUUCACAAACCCACAAGAGGUCGAAUUUUCUAGGAAGGAUAUUGAGGCUGAAAUUGAUGAUAUUUCAUGAUAUUUGGUGGUAUUUAAUGAUUGGUGAGGCUAGAAAUUUAAUGGAAAAUUUUGGCAUGAAAAUCUAAAUUUUUACCUAAUGUAUAGACAUAUGCGAUUUAUGGUUCAGACUGAUAAAUUGAAUCAUAUUCACAGUCAUUGAGGUAUUUUAAGUAUAAUUGAAGUGUAUAAAGUGAAAAAAAAUUGAUUUGGAGUUAAAUUGGAGGUUUUAGCCAAUUACACCGAGAAUAGUGCGAAUUAGGUCGAAUACCGUAUUUAAAUGGCUAUUCGGACAUUUUGCAUCACAUUUCGUGCAUUCAUAUAGAUUUAUAGAGCCUGAAAUAGUUUAUGAUAAAUUGACAUAAAUUAUUGAAAUUCGUAUCACGUAUGAUGUAUAGGUGGUGAAUCCUAAGCUAAGGGCAAAGAAAUUAUACCCGAGGAUCGGUAGUCAGAGUACUCUAGAAAUUCGACUCCCGAAAUAGUGAGUAACCUUAUCAUCAUUUUAAUUAACAAAACUAGUCUUUUUAUUCGAUUUUGUGAAUUUUAUAGAAAAUGAGUUUAAAUGGUAAAUUUUUAGGUUUUAUAAACAAAAUGUGUUUAAAUGAAAAGAUUUUAUAAAUUGUCUUAAAAUUGAAUGAUGGCUUUGAAAAUAGAGUAACUGGAGACCAUUUGAUGUGUUGUAAUUUAUGAUUCUAAUUGAUGGCUUAUGAUAAUGUGUUGGCAUGACUGGCUGAAAUUGUGAUUUGUGAACUGUAUGAAUUGUUUUGUUUUACAUUUACAGCCUAGGUAGUAUAAUAUUAGUCAUGUCAUGUUGUAAAAAAUUUUAUUGUAUGGUGGGUUUAGCUUGCUGCAGUGUGUGAGUUCUGUGGACCAGCCUAUUAGAGGGGCACGAAAUUCGGUUAUAUAUGUACCUCGGUCGGAGAGGCGCGUAGGGUAUCUCUUGAGGUAUGGUUAGAGUUCACGUCACGCCGAACCACCUCGUGAUGAUGAACUCCGCUAACGCCAAGGAACGACUGUGUUUUUUUUUCAAACUAAAAAUAUGUUUAUGUGUACAUAACUUUUUAACAGCCUUGGCGGACUCGGUUAAAUGCCUCAACCAAGGUAUUCCCGAGAAUGAUUUUGGCUGGAGCCAAGCUUUUAAGAUACUCAUAAGCCAUGUUGACUAUUUAAAUGAAAUGAAUGUUUGUGUUAUGAAAUACAUAUUUAGAUGAAAUAUUUUAAUUGUCUUCUUUUACUCGACUUUAGAUAUUUUGAAUGAUGUUUGUUUACUCACUGGGAUUAUAUAAUCUCAUCACCCUCAUUUUCACCAAUUUCAGGCACAAAUUAGGCUGUAGAUAGCUGUUUUUCAUCAAGGGCUACCAUUGGAGUUGCAUCCUCCAAAUUGUAGGUUCAUAGUCUUCCUCACUUUUGGUUAUUCGGGGGCCCACUGGUUAUUGUAAAUUAAAUUAAAUAUUCUGGCUUACGGUAUUACAGUAUGUAUAAACUUAUUUUGUUUUUACGCUGCAAAGAUUAUUUACAUAUAACUUUUAAAAUAUUGUUUCAUAAGAAAAUAGAAUAUUUUAUUGAAUAUUUCUUUUAUUUUUA
rnacentral:lncRNA from 1 species